rnacentral:rRNA from 1 species
UACGGAGGGUGCGAGCGUUGUUCGGAAUCACUGGGCGUAAAGGGCGUGUAGGCGGUCUGUUAAGUCUGAUGUGAAAGCCCGGGGCUCACCCCCGGAAGUGCAUUGGAUACUGGCGGACUCGAGUCUCGGAGAGGAGGGUGGAAUUCCUGGUGUAGCGGUGAAAUGCGUAGAUAUCAGGAGGAACACCGGUGGCGAAGGCGGCCCUCUGGACGAUGACUGACGCUGAGGAGCGAAAGCGUGGGGAGCGAACAGG